CAGAUGUUAACACUUAACAGUUUUCGUUUCAAUGUGGUGCGAUGAUGCCUAAUCUAGACGGGUCACAUUAUUAAGCCUCUCUUUUAAGCUGGAUAGCAACACUGUACGAUGCAUGGCUGUGCUUUUUGUGGCUGUCUACAACCUCACAGUGGGAUACAGGCCCGAGCGAGACCACCUUAUCUUUGUUAUAUUUUCCUUGGAGGGACCUGAUUCGAGCCAUGACCAUCGAGGGCGGCGAGACGACGCAGGUGCGAGUAAUGACGUCCAUCUCACUUUUCCAGAGAGUGGCGCGAUUGGCUGGAGUGACGUCAUUACCUCUCCUCUGCUGUGGUUGG